UCCCUUCACCCAAACACACACCCGCAGUAGCAGACCCUUUCCCCUUUCACCCUCAGCAAACUCACAGACUUGAAACCCUGUAGCCGCCACCCCAUUCAUUUUUUCCCAUCGGCAACUCAUACAAAGUUUCCUUUUCCCUGAAAGAAAGAAACAGUGAGCCAGCGGGAGGAGGAGAAAGGGAGGUGCGUCGCGCCAUCGUUGAGAAGGAGAGGAAGGAAGGGCGUCGCCGGCCUAGCGCCACUGCCGCCAUCGCGUCCUGCCAUCCCUGCCCAGUUGAUGCCACCGCUGUUAUUUGCGGGGUCGUCUCCGCCACAGAUUGGGACUUAGGCGAGAGAGGAGGAGACUAACGAGUGGGCUUGUGCGCGAGAAGGAAGAAAGGUCACGCGAGGACGAGCGCGAACCAUCGCGCAGAGCCGCGCCGUUGUGUGCUGUCGCCGUCGCUUCGGACUACUGCCGCCGUCGAGCUUCGUGGAGAGAGAAGGAGGUUGCGUGGAAGAUGAGGCGCGAUGGUGGUAGGAGGUUCUGCCACCCCUCUGCCGUUGCUAAGCUGCCGCCGUCGCUGUGAAGGCUUCGCCACUGCCUUGUUGCUGCUGGAGAGAAGGAGACCAGAAUGGGUAAGUAGGAGGGGUUUCUGCCACCGUUGGAGCUCAGUUGCCGUUGUUGUCAUGGCCGCCGCACCUUUGGCUGCCGGGAGCAGUAUUGUGGCCGCCGGAACCAGUCUUUCUUGGGUUGAGUCCCGGUAUUUGCGCGUUGGAAUUAAAGCUGCUGUUGGGCCACCGGAGCUUCUGGCCGCUCACAGAUCUUUUGUCGGGGCAAUUCGAAAUCGUAGCUGCUUCGCUUGUUAGUAUAGUAAGUAUUUCACAUUUCGAAAACCCCUGGUUUAGCGUUCGGUUAUGUUUGGCUAAAGACCUUGAGGCUUGGUAAUGUAUGUUUGAGUUCCGGUGAUUUCGUGUCGUAUAAGUGUUGCGGAGGCUGCCGUGUCAUUCCUUUUAUUUUAGUAAGUGUUUUAUCUCGAAAAUCCUCGCCAUUUGUUUUCAGUUAUGAGUUUUAAGAUUUUCGCGAUAUUGAUGUGUUAGGAAGUAGUAGCUGAGCUUAUACGUGGCGUUGAGGCUGUUUCUUAUAUUGAGAAAAACACGCGGAGCCGGGAUUUUGAUUGUUGAUUUUGGGUUGAGGCGGAAAGGACGCGUUUGGGUUAUGAAUUUGCUUUUUGAGGUAGGGGCGCUUUCUGAAAAACUAUAUUUUGUAUAUUGGAAUUAUUAUAUAUGGAUACUGAUGUGAGAAAAUGAGUAUUUGGUGAUUGUGUCGGCCUUAUGUAUGGUUUGAAUUGUCUCGAUUGAUUAUGAAUGUUUGUUGGUUGGUUUGUUGUGUGGUUUUGUGAAACGAAAUGCUUUUGAAGUUGAUUCUUUUAAAGCUUUGAGAUCGAGUUUAAUCCAUUGGGAAUUGAUUUGAGUUGAGUUGAUUUUCUUGAGAAUGUGAAAAAUAGAAUACACUCUUGAAUUCAGCCUGGUUUGCUUUAAAUGAUCUGGUUUGAUAAACGAUUGUUGCUAAACCGUUUCUUUAAAGCUUUAGAAAUGAGUUUAUUCGGCUGAUAAUGAUUUGAUUUUGAAACGAUUUUCCUGAAAUAUGGAAUUGAGAUGACUAUUGGAUUUUGGCUUGCCUUGGACUGAUUUUGAAAUUUGGACUGUUGAAAAGGAUUGUGAAACAAUUUAGUUGGGACCCGAACCGGGUGUCAAAGUCCAAGUUUUAGGGGAGGUGCUGCCGAAAUUUUUAUAAAAUUCGAGUCUUUAUUGAAUGUUGUCUAGAAAAUGAUGAGUUAAAGACUUUUACUAUUUUAUUUGAAUUAUCAAGAAAAGGAUGAUUCAUGCUUUUGAAAUGAAUUAUUAAAGAGGAAAUUGUGAUUUAGCCUUGCUUCUUAAGAAAGGCAUUGUAUCUCUUUCAGGAGAAAGUUAUUUAUAUGAAACUUAUGUUUUAAAGCUGUUUUAAAUGUGACAAGGGCAAUGCCUUUGAAUUUUGACUUGAGGGUUUCAAUUAGAGGAGUUUCAAUGACUUUGAAAGAACAUGAAUGUCUAUUGAAAAGUUUUAUUUUGAAAUAUUUUGAGAAAAGUUUUAAGUACUCUUUGAAUUCUGAAUUCUUGCAAGACUACAACAAUUUUGAACAGUUGAAACGUUCUAGAAUUUAACAUGGGGGUUGAAAUUGGUUUUGCCUAAGUAAAGGAAACGGCUUUGAAAGAAGUAAAUGAUUACGUGACUCGGUUUGGCUUAGAUCCUAUUUUAUUACUCAAAUCGGAAAGCCAAGGUUUUAAUGAUUUUAAGAGAAUUUGACAGAAUGAGUUAUGUUAUUCUCCUUUAAAGACUUGAGACUCUGCCGAGAAACUUUGUUAUAAAAUUUCAUUGUCGGAUGGAUGAUUUUGAAUGUUUCAAAAUGAAUCUUUAACUUUCCAUGGUUAUGGAAGUUUUGUAAAGAGGAUGCCGAGAGUGGCAUUAUUUUAAAGGGGAAUUUACCUUAAGUAAAAGUGGCUUAUGAGCCUGAGAUGAUUUGAGAAAUAAGAUCUUUAAAGCCAAGGUUGAAAAGAGUUGAAACAUGAUUUCAAAGUGAAAUGAAUUGAGAAAAAGUGAUUUACGGCUUAAAUGCCGAUUUUAUGAAUUUGAUGAUGUUGAAUGGUGGUGCUGUUUUGUUAUAGGCUGGAAUGGCUGUGUAUCAUUAUGAAUAUUGGCUGGUUCUGGAUUGAAUCUUGAGCCGGAAUGGCUGUGUAUGAUAUGAAUAUUGGUUGGUUUUGGACUGAACCGUGAGCCAGAUGGCUGAUAUGGAUGUUGAUCCAUGGCUGAGAAUGAAUGCAUGUAUAUGCUGAAUUAUUGAUAAUUGUGAUUUACACUUCCACUAUCAGAGGCACGAGUUCCCAGGGAGAAAGUAGUGGCUAGCCACCACGUGCUCCAGGUGGAGGCUCGAGACUCUGCUGACCUUAUGUCGUAAGUAUGGCCGGGCACUGUGAAAGUUCCGGAUGAGCUCGCCCUCGUGAAUAUACACCAGUGAGGGUGUUGGAUAUGGAUAAUGAUUAUGAUCAAGUUUAUGUUGAGUAUAACUCGAGUUGGGGAUGCGCGAUAGAGGGACAGUCCAAUAGUUAGCUACCAGGACUUGUCGGGUUGGCUCUAUAAUCGAUAGAUGAUAUCAUUAGCCACUAGGACAGGCAUGCAUCAUAUGCAUCUAUGUGACAUUGUUUGAGUGUGCAUAUUGUACUUAGUUUGCCUUUGUGAUUAACUGCUAAUUGUUCUACUUGUUGUAAUUGUUUGUUUGUGCUUGAACCUUCCUAUUUGUGUUUGCGACUGAGACUCUGUUGGAUUAUGGUGACUGGUUGAUGGUUGGAGUGUUUGGGCCUAGGGUCGUGGUUGAAUUGAGAUGGACCAAUGGUUGGUUUCGGUUGUGUUUCUGGUUUGGAAAAAUAUGAAAGGCUAUUUUGGUUCAGUAUAGAUAAACAUUUUUGAAAGGCUUUUGAAUCUUGUUUUAAAUGAACAGUUCCUCUUUCAGAAAAGAUUUCAGAUUUCUCUUUUAUUGUAAACCGUUGUUUUUGAAAAGAGGCACAAGACGGUUAUUAAUUACUGGUACAGUUUAUCUUCACGUAUCCUAUUAUUGUAAUUCCCAAAAACCCUCUACUGAGAACCCUUUCGAGGAUGAUGUUCUCACCCCCUUACAUUUUUCCCCUUUCAGGAUAUGGGUGCAGAAGUCACGAAGAGUUUAUUUAGUUGUUGUUGAGAUGCUCUGUAUUGUUUUAGUUAUGGUUUAUUGUGCCCUCGCCUUUAUCUUGAUAUAUUCUGUAAGAGGGAUAGAAAUUGUAUUGGUUAAUGCUUGUAUAUAUAUAUAUAUAUAUAUGGAUGUACCCUUUAUUAGUU